rnacentral:rRNA from 1 species
GAUGAACGCUAGCUACAGGCUUAACACAUGCAAGUCGAGGGGUAACGAGAGGAAAGCUUGCUUUCCUUGUCGACGACCGGCGCACGGGUGAGUAACGCGUAUCCAACCUGCCCCCAACUAGGGAAUAACCUUGCGAAAGUAAGACUAAUACCCUAUAAUUUCCUCAGAUGACAUCUGACGAGGAAUAAAGAUUUAUCGGUUGUGGAUGGGGAUGCGUCUGAUUAGCUUGUUGGCGGGGUAACGGCCCACCAAGGCAACGAGCAGGAGGGGUUAGGAGAGGAAGGUCCACAACAUUGGAACUGAGACACGGUCCAAACUCCUACGGGAGGCAGCAGUGAGGAAUAGUGGUCAAUGGGCGGAAGCUUGAACCAGCCAAGUAGCGUGCAGGAUGACGGCCCUAUGGGUUGUAAACUGCUUUUAUACAGGAAUAAAGGUAGCCACGUGUGGUUAUUUGUAGGUACUGUAUGAAUAAGAACCGGCUAAUUCCGUGCCAGCAGCCGCAGUAA